GGGGCGGCGGGCGCGGGGCCGGGGGCUCGGCGGGGAGCCCGGCGGCGGCGCGGCGAGGCCCGAGUCCCGUCCCCUCCGCGCCCCGCGGUCUCCGGCUCCCCUCGGCUCCAGCCGGCCGGGCGGCUUUGCCGGGGGAGACGAGGAACCGGGUGAGGAGCUGUUGCAGGAGUCACCGUGCAAACGUACUCGUUCCCCGGCUCCUCGGGCAGCGGGACCGCUGACCUGAAGGGUCUGCAUUGACAUAAAGGUAUUUUCUGGCGCUGCAGGGUAGACAAAGCGGUGGUUCGGAUGCUUGUGAGGAGUCUGGCUGCUGUGCUGCAUGCCUCGGAGCGACCUCGGGCAGCCUGCGUGGAGCCGAGCUCUGUAAUCCCGGGGCCUGAGCGACCCCUGGCUCUGCGCCUUCCUCCUCAUCUGACCAGCUCAGGGGGGUUCCGAAUUUCCAGAGCUCCUCAAGCUGAUGUGAGCUCCUCGAUAUUUGUGAUUGAGGACCUCUGCAGCUUUCUGUAUCCACGGCUGGGUUUGAGACAUUCCGUUUCAGCGGACAAUGUUCUGAAUAAAGAAAUCAUAAUGUAACUUGCUCAAGGCCAUGCAACAGUUUAUUGCACAACAGGAGUCUUUUAGUGGCCUUUUCCAUGUCUAGUUGUGUUCAGGAUUGGAAUUUGUAGCGUGAUUUGAAUAUUUAAAAUCCGUUGGAAAAGCUGGUAUGUGUGAAAAACCCUUUUAUAAAGAACAGUAUAGAAAAUAUAUGAUUAAUUAAUUAUUAACAAAAUACUUAGAAUCUUUUUCUUGGAAAACUGUUUCACUCUAGUUGCUGCAAAUGGCACUUUUGCAGUCUGGAAGGCAUCUGUUGUUAACACGGCUGUUGGGAAACAACAGUGUUGAGGCUGAUUGUGUUGUGUCCACGGCUAUGUCAAGGAAUACCUGCGGUCUGCAUCUGACACCAAAAGCAGUGAAAAUUGCCCAGCCAUGACUUACAGAGAGCUUGCUGAAGUGGAUGAAGCAAACCACUUCAUCCAACACAUGGGUUUUCCCUAUGCUCCUCACAGGUUGGGUGUAAAGCAGGUUCUUUGCAGAAAGCGUAAAGCUAUGCCAGCCUAGUACAACUGCCAAAUGAAUCCUAGGAUCAAACAAUAAUGCACAGUGGAGAAGACCACAUAAGGUUUGUAGUCCAGUUCCUGGUGCGCAGUGAGACCAAGCCAGGUCACUUUAUCCAAACUGAUUCUGGAAACCACAAGGAUAGAAACUGUGGGCGACCUCUCCACCCUGUGACUAUCCUCAUGAGGAAAAGCUUCUCCGUCAGACCCUGCCUGCACCUCUCCUGUUUCUACCAGCAUCUGUUGUCUCUUGUCCUCCCACCAUGCAUGGCAGUGGGGGCCUGCCUGGCUCCCCAGAACUGCCACUGCUCCAGGCUGCGCUUGCUCCCUCAGUCCCAUGGCAAGGGCUCCAGCUCCCAAUGUCCCAGUGGCCUCCAAAUGUCCAAAACCAGACACAGCAGUGCAUGUGGGGUCUAGUGAGUGCCAAGUAGUGGUGACAAACUGUUUCCUCAUUCUGCUGGCCAUGCCCCUCUGUACAGCCAGGGUACCGCUGGCUUCCCUCGCUGCUGGGGCCUGCAGCUGGCACCUCCUCGGCUUGUGCCCUCCGGACCCAGCAGGGCCUUUCCAGCAGAGCAGCUCACAGCCAGGCUGUGCGGAAGGGCAUGGCCACCAGGACUUUACAUUUGUGUGCCUUCAGCUUUGUGAGGAUCCUGCACCAGGCUCAGGCAGAGCGCUGAGCAAGUCACUGCUUCUAGUGCAGCAUAGCUACUUUUGGAUACCCGCAGAACAAGUUCACUUUCAUUUGCUUGUUAGACCUACAGAUGCCUUUGAGCUUGGUGACCAUCCCUCUUAUGGCAAAGCAUUCAUAAAAUAAAUGAUAACAUUCUCACCGAGUAUCUGGGCAAAGAAUCCUCAGUGCUUUGGCCAUUAAGUAGGUCAGUCAGAAGAAGGGUAGGGAAAGUUGUGUAAAGAUUUUGAAACAAAAGCCCAGGCAGGUGUGACCUGUGUGUCCUUGUCUCAGUGGGAGACCAAACGACUGGGGCUGAAGUGGUCCUGCAAAUAUUUGAGCAGAGAUACAGAGUGAUUUGGCGCAACCACAACCUCCCCCUUACUUGGUUGAGUUACCACAUGAGUAAAACUACACAUGUGAUUAGGGUUUUGUAGGCUCGAAAUAAAGUGAUUAAUUAUUGUUAGAAUCCAAAAUCCCAUUAAACUUUCAAGUCAGCUGCUGA